GGGGAUAUGGCGGAACAGGUAGACGCAGGAGACUUAAAAUCUCCCGACCAGAUGGUUGUGGGGGUUCGACUCCCUCUAUCCCUACUA
rnacentral:tRNA from 1 species